rnacentral:rRNA from 1 species
UAUGUAGGGUGCGAGCGUUGUCCGGAAUUAUUGGGCGUAAAGGGCUCGUAGGCGGUUUGUCGCGUCGGGAGUGAAAUCCAUUGGCUUAACUGGUGGCUUGCUUUCGAUACGGGCAGACUGGAGGUAUGCAGGGGAGAACGGAAUUCCUGGUGUAGCGGUGAAAUGCGUAGAUAUCUGGAGGAACACCGGUGGCGAAGGCGGCAUCCUGGACCGGCAUUGACGCUGAGGAGCGAAAGCCAGGGGAGCAAACGGG